rnacentral:rRNA from 1 species
UACAGAGGGUGCAAGCGUUAAUCGGAAUUACUGGGCGUAAAGCGCGCGUAGGUGGUUUGUUAAGUUGGAUGUGAAAGCCCCGGGCUCAACCUGGGAACUGCAUUCAAAACUGACAAGCUAGAGUAUGGUAGAGGGUGGUGGAAUUUCCUGUGUAGCGGUGAAAUGCGUAGAUAUAGGAAGGAACACCAGUGGCGAAGGCGACCACCUGGACUGAUACUGACGCUGAUGCGCGAAAGCCAGGGGAGCGAACGGG